AUGGAAGCCGACGCCGCCUCCUCGCUCAACCCCCCGGCGCCAGAGGAAGCCUCACAAGAGGAUCCCUCGCCAGCGCGCUUCUCCUCCACCGGCGCGGCUGCCCCCGCGACCACGGUGACGUCUCCCGGGGCAAGGGAGGUGGCGGCGGCGAUGGAGGCAGUGGAGCGAGACGCCGCCGCCAUCGCCGAGAGCUACGCCUCCCUAUUCGCCUCCCUCCGCAUCACACUUUCCAACGUUACCUCGACGUCAGCCGAUAACAUGGAGUGCUUGGGCGAAGUUGUAGGCCGCCUCCAGGAGUCAGCACUUGAAGCGUCUUCCAGAGGCAAUAAGUACAUCCAUUCAUGCCUGAGGUUAAAUGAGGAAAUGCGAGGCUUGGAAAGCCUAAGUAUGCAGCUAAAGAUUAUGCGGAAGAUCGUUGAUUCACUAGAUUUGGCUGUUGAUCGGCUGCUCCACCUCCCGUAG
rnacentral:rRNA from 1 species